GCUGGGUUUUGUUGUCGCAAGCACAACAUAAGUUGGAUUGCUGCUGAAUCCCCAUUUGUGGGCGGGACUUGCUGUUGAGUUAAAGCUUCUUCUAUAGGUAAAUCCCCGGCCGGAGGAGGAUGAGGAACCUACUGUUGUGAUUGCUGCCCAGCAGAGCAGUCCGAUAAAAAGGCGUAGCAUUUUAAAUCUACCUUCUUUGUUGCUCACUCACUACUAAAUGCAGCUGCUUUUGGAUGGAGCGCAAAUCAACUAACCCAACUUUUAUUUCGUCUUAUCUGCCCUGUUGUUAUCACGCGGUAAUUGAAACCGAUAUUCUGUUUCUGGCACAUUUAAAUUAUAAUCUAGAUGCCAAAGAUUUUUAUAUUU